rnacentral:rRNA from 1 species
GAUGAACGCUGGCGGCGUGCCUAAUACAUGCAAGUCGAGCGAAGCUGGGACGGGUGAGUAACACGUGGAUAACCUCCUAUAAGACUGGGAUAACUUCGGGAAACCGGAGCUAAACCGGAUACGUAUAGUUGACUCCCCGUUGCAUUAGCUAGUUGGGAAGGUAACGGCUUACCAAGGCAACGAUGCAUACCCGACCGGAGAGGGUGUUCGGCAACACUGGAACGGAGACCCGGUCAAGAUUCCUACGGGAGGCAGCAGUAGGAAAUCUUCCGCAAUGGGCGAAAGCCUGACGGGGCAACGCCGGGUGAGUGAUGAAGGUCUUCGGACCGUAAAAUUCUGUUAUUAGGGAGGCGGUACCUAACCAGAAAGCCACGGCUAACUACGUGCCAACAGCCGCGGUAAUAC